rnacentral:rRNA from 1 species
GAUGAACGCUGGCGGCGUGCCUAAUACAUGCAAGUCGAGCGAACUGAUUAGAAGCUUGCUUCUAUGACGUUAGCGGCGGACGGGUGAGUAACACGUGGGCAACCUGCCUGUAAGACUGGGAUAACUUCGGGAAACCGAAGCUAAUACCGGAUAGGAUCUUCUCCUUCAUGGGAGAUGAUUGAAAGAUGGUUUUGGCUAUCACUUACAGAUGGGCCCGCGGUGCAUUAGCUAGUUGGUGAGGUAACGGCUCACCAAGGCAACGAUGCAUAGCCGACCUGAGAGGGUGAUCGGCGCACGGGGACUGAGACACGGCCCAGACUCCUACGGGAGGCAGCAGUAGGGAAUCUUCCGCAAUGGACGAAAGUCUGACGGAGCAACGCCGCGUGAGUGAUGAAGGCUUUCGGGUCGUAAAACUCUGUUGUUAGGGAAGAACAAGUACAAGAGUAACUGCUUGUACCUUGACGGUACCUAACCAGAAAGCCACGGCUAACUACGUGCCAGCAGCCGCGGUAACAC